rnacentral:rRNA from 1 species
UGGCGGACGGGUGAGUAACGCGUGGGUAACCUGCCUCAUACAGGGGGAUAACAGUUAGAAAUGACUGCUAAUACCGCAUAAGACCACAGCACCGCAUGGUGCAGGGGUAAAAACUCCGGUGGUAUGAGAUGGACCCGCGUCUGAUUAGGUAGUUGGUGGGGUAACGGCCUACCAAGCCGACGAUCAGUAGCCGACCUGAGAGGGUGACCGGCCACAUUGGGACGGAGACACGGCCCAA